GCUGGAAUUGGGCAACGACGCCAUUGGGAGGUGAUCCAGAGAUUUAGGGCUUCGUCGGAUCUGUCCAGUGACGGCGGUGUGGUGAGGUCACGAGAUUGAAGGGAUUAAGAUUGAUUUCUUCUUGAUCCGGAAUGUAGAGUGGAAUUCAACACAUUGCUACUCUGUGGAUUUUUUGGUGCGGCAGCAACCCAUCCAUCAGUGUUCCCUUGAUCCAGAAUCAAACAGCAGCUGGA